GACGAACGCUGGCGGCGUGCUUAACACAUGCAAGUCGAACGGAAAGGCCCUGCUUUUGUGGGGUGCUCGAGUGGCGAACGGGUGAGUAACACGUGAGUAACCUGCCCUUGACUUUGGGAUAACUUCAGGAAACUGGGGCUAAUACCGGAUAGGAGCUCCUGCUGCAUGGUGGGGGUUGGAAAGUUUCGGCGGUUGGGGAUGGACUCGCGGCUUAUCAGCUUGUUGGUGGGGUAGUGGUUUACCAAGGCUUUGACGGGUAGCCGGCCUGGGAGGGUGACCGGCCACAUUGGGACUGCGGUACGGCCCAGACUGCUACGGGAGGCAGCAGGGGGGAGUAUUGCACAAUGGGCGGGAGCCUGAUGCAGCAGCGCCGCGUGCGGGAUGACGGCCUUCGGGUUGUGAACCGCUUUCGCCUGUGACGAAGCGUGAGUGACGGUAAUGGGUAAAGAAGCACCGGCUAACUACGUG
rnacentral:rRNA from 1 species